AAAUGAACGUUGAUGAGGAGAAGUAAAUAAUUGAAGCUUUACAGAGAGAACCGUCACCGGCUGCGAACGGUUUAAGCCACUCAAUUAUUGAAAUGCCCCUCUGAGUCUGUUGCCGAAAGGAAUGCGAGUAGGCAGCAGCGGGAACACCCGUUACCAGUUUAGAGUUGGAUGAACAGGCUUAUGCUUGUUUUUCAAACAGAGUGGAACCGCGUCAAUUAAAACGUCUCUGUC
rnacentral:ncRNA from 1 species